UACAGGCUCCCGAUGUACUCUGUCCUUAAUGCAUUUUACUAUGAAACUUAAAGACAACACUACUAGUCGAACAAUACCCUAUACCUUGUGCAGUUGUGUGAGUGCAGCCUGUUGAAAUCCUUGCUUAGUGUAUACUAAGUUGAUCUUCUGUAUAUGAAGCACAUGCAGAUUUUACCUAGGAUUCCUACUAUUUCCCGAUCUUCGCAACCUUUCUGGAGGCUUGGGGAGAGCAGGAUCUCUAGCAGCUCCAGUAUCUGGUAAGGACCCUCUUUCUGCUUUGCAGACAACUACUUUUCACUGAAUCCUCACAUAGGUCAGAGACAAAGAGACAAAUAUGGAAGGGGAAGGAAAGAGGCAGACGGAGAGAAAGUUCUUUCAUGCUUCCUCUCAUCAAGGUGCUAAUCCCAUUCAUGGGGCUCUACCUCAUCAUCCAAUUACCAAGCUAAGACUCCAACUCUAGAUGGGAUCACGUUGGGAAUAGGGUUUCAGCAUGAUGGGGACAUAAGCAUUUGGUCAUAGCACUAAUUUACAGAAAAUGUUAUUGCAAGACACAUUUCAAGUUCUGAGGAGUAUCUGACAUGACUGUUAGAUCACUUUAUACUAAUCUUAUAGAUGCAUACCUAUGCAAGUUCAUGGUUAUUUAGGAUAAGUUCAUUUAAAAGAAGAUUUUAUUUAUUUAUUUGAGAGGUAGAGUUACAGACAAUGAGAGGGAGACAGAGAGAAAGGUCUUCCAUCUCCUGGUUCACUCCCCAGUGGCCGGAGCUGGGCAGAUCCAAAGCCGGGAGCCAGAAACUUCCCCCAGAUCUCCCCCAUGGGUUCAGGGGCCCAAGCACUUCGACCAUCUUCUACUGCUUUCCUAAGUCAUGUAAAGAGAUGGAUCAGAAGAGGAGCAUCUGGGGUGGGUCAGAACCAGAGACCAUAUGGGAUGCUGAGGCCACAGGAGGAGGAUUAACCUACUGUGCCACAACACUGGCCCCUAGGAUAAGUUCUUGCAAGUGAAAUUAUUGGGUCUAAAUUUGUUUCCAAGAAGAAUUGUUUAUCACCUCACCAAUAGUGCAUGAGGAACCUAUUUGUUUAUAACUUUGCUAGCCUUAGAUAUUAUAGAUAAACAGAAUUUCAGUUAAUUUAGGA